UGAACGCUGGCGGCGUGCCUAAUACAUGCAAGUCGAGCGAACGGACGAGAAGCUUGCUUCUCUGAUGUUAGCGGCGGACGGGUGAGUAACACGUGGAUAACCUACCUAUAAGACUGGGAUAACUUCGGGAAACCGGAGCUAAUACCGGAUAAUAUUUUGAACCGCAUGGUUCAAAAGUGAAAGACGGUCUUGCUGUCACUUAUAGAUGGAUCCGCGCUGCAUUAGCUAGUUGGUAAGGUAACGGCUUUCCAAGGCAACGAUGCAUAGCCGACCUGAGAGGGUGAUCGGCCACACUGGAACUGAGACACGGUCCAGACUCCUACGGGAGGCAGCAGUAGGGAAUCUUCCGCAAUGGGCGAAAGCCUGACGGAGCAACGCCGCGUGAGUGAUGAAGGUCUUCGGAUCGUAAAACUCUGUUAUUAGGGAAGAACAUAUGUGUAAGUAACUGUGCACAUCUUGACGGUACCUAAUCAGAAAGCCACGGCUAACUACGUG
rnacentral:rRNA from 1 species